ACAAGAUACAGUCUUUAAACACAGAGUAGUGAACACGUGCUACAACGAAUGCACGUGCACACACACACACGCACACACAACCUAAGUUACACUAGAUUUUAUUCAGUUCUUGAUUUCAAGGCAGACACGCUCAUUUACAGCCUUUUCCCAGGGUUAAGACUUUUUUAUAAUAAUAAAAGCUAAAGCACACGAUCAUCUAGGUUUCAGAAUGUCAUGCCAAGGCAAAUGUUUCCACACUAAUGUAGUCAUUCCUCCAAAAAA